AAUAAUUUUUGUAGUAAUAUUUUGUAUAAAAAAAAAUAAAAAUGAGAACUGUCAAGUGUCUGAUAUUUUCAGUGGUGAAAUUUAAACAAGCGGUGUCAAUUUAUUACUAGAUAAAAAAGGAUAAAAUGUUGGUAGAGUGUGAGUUUUUUUGUGUGAUAGAACGAAGAUUAUCAAGUGUUCAUAAAAUUUUGUGACAUGUAGUAAUACGAAGCCAUAAGCUCCUGAAAUUAAUUAGGAUCAUCGAGUUUAAAUGAAAUCACAAACUGUUAUUUAUUAAUCCAGUGUUUUAUUGACUAUUGUUUGGCCCAAUUAAGUGAG